rnacentral:lncRNA from 1 species
UAUCCAAGGGAAGGGCGGUCACAGCCCUAGCGGGAGGCAUGUAUGAGCAUGAUGUGGUUGUCGGCUGGAGCAGUGCUGGGGUGGUUGGGCCAGUGUCUGACAGCUUUGGGCUCAGCGUGCUGGAGGCGAUGGAGGUUGAAAAGGGGAGGUCGUACUCCAGCAUUGUGGAUGACAGCCCGCCCAUGGAUUUGCCCGAGUCCUGGAAGUGGUGUGCGGUCCAUGACUUGUGGCGGGACUCUGUGCGCAGUGCUUGGUAUGCAUAUUGGGUCUGGGGACGUUGUUGUGCUUGCGCCGGACUCGCC